UGAGGAAUAUUGGUCAAUGGGCGAGAGCCUGAACCAGCCAAGUAGCGUGCAGGAUGACGGCCCUAUGGGUUGUAAACUGCUUUUAUGUGGGGAUAAAGUGCGUGACGUGUCAUGCAUUGCAGGUACCACAUGAAUAAGGACCGGCUAAUUCCGUGCCAGCAGCCGCGGUAAUACGGAAGGUCCGGGCGUUAUCCGGAUUUAUUGGGUUUAAAGGGAGCGUAGGCUGUCUAUUAAGCGUGUUGUGAAAUUUACCGGCUCAACCGGUGGCUUGCAGCGCGAACUGGUCGACUUGAGUAUGCAGGAAGUAGGCGGAAUUCAUGGUGUAGCGGUGAAAUGCUUAGAUAUCAUGACGAACUCCGAUUGCGCAGGCAGCUUACUGUAGCAUAACUGACGCUGAUGCUCGAAAGUGCGGGUAGCAAACAGG
rnacentral:rRNA from 2 species